rnacentral:rRNA from 1 species
UGGGGAAUUUUGGACAAUGGGCGAAAGCCUGAUCCAGCAAUGCCGCGUGUGUGAAGAAGGCCUUCGGGUUGUAAAGCACUUUUGUCCGGAAAGAAAUCCUUGGCUCUAAUACAGUCGGGGGAUGACGGUACCGGAAGAAUAAGCACCGGCUAACUACGUGCCAGCAGCCGCGGUAAUACGUAGGGUGCAAGCGUUAAUCGGAAUUACUGGGCGUAAAGCGUGCGCAGGCGGUUUGCUAAGACCGAUGUGAAAUCCCCGGGCUCAACCUGGGAACUGCAUUGGCGACUGGCAGGCUAGAGUAUGGCAGAGGGGGUAGAAUUCCACGUGUAGCAGUGAAAUGCGUAGAGAUGUGGAGGAAUACCGAUGGCGAAGGCAGCCCCUGGGCCAAUACUGACGCUCAUGCACGAAAGCGUGGGGAGCAAACAGGAUUAGAUACCCUGGUAGUCCACGCCCUAAACGAUGUCAACUAGUUGUUGGGGAUUCAUUUCCUUAGUAACGUAGCUAACGCGUGAAGUUGACCGCCUGGGGAGUACGGUCGCAAGAUUAAAACUCAAAGGAAUUGACGGGGUCAUAGCUGUUUCCU